UUAAGGGCACGAAAUAAUUUGAUCUAUAAAUAUAUUGUAUAUUAGUUUUAUAAAAUAUAUGUUGCAACAUAUAUUUAAAAUAUGUUUAUAGGGGCGACAGACUUGUCAAAAUUUAAGAUAUCUUGAUGAUUAUUAAAAGUAUUUAGUACUGAAAACAAUCAAUAAGUAAUAAGAUUUAUUGAGAAGAUAAAUUAUAUUAUAUAUUAUAAAUAAUGAAGAAUUAAUUUUUACAUUUAGUUUUUUAGAAAAAUAUUAAUAAUUAAUAGUUUAUUUUAUUUAAUAAUUUAUAAAAAUUAACUAUUGUUUUUAUUAAUAAUGUUUAUAUUAGUAAUUAAAAAUUUUAAGUAAAAUUUAUGUAAGGAAUUCGGCAAAUAAAUUUGUUCAACUGUUUAUCAAAAACAUAGCUUAAUGAUAUUUUAUAUUAAGUUAAUUCUGCUCAAUGAUUUAAUUAAAUAGCCGCAGUACUUUGACUGUGCAAAGGUAGCAUAAUAAAUUGACUUAUAAUUGAAGUCGGGAAUGAAUGAAUAAUUGAAUAUAAGCUGUCUAAUGUAAAUUUUAAUUAAUUUCCUAAGUAAGUGAAAAUUCUUACAGUAUAUUUUAUUAGACGAGAAGACCCUUGAAAUUUAAAUAAGUAUAAUAUAUUUAUAUUUGAAUAUUAAUAAUUUUUGUUGGGGCGACAGAUUUACAAUUAACUUAAUUUAUAUAACAGAAUUAAACGAAUAAUAUUAAUAAAAAGUAAAUUACUCAAGGGAUAACAGCAUAAUUUAUAAAUAAGUUUGUGACCUCGAUGUUGGACUAGGGGACUUUAAGUUUAGAAGAUUUAAAGGUGGGUUCUGUUCGAACUUUAUUUCCUACAUGA
rnacentral:rRNA from 1 species